rnacentral:rRNA from 1 species
AGUGAACGCUGGCGGUAGGCCUAACACAUGCCAGUCGAACGGCAGCACAGUAAGAGCUUGCUCUUACGGGUGGCGAGUGGCGGACGGGUGAGGAAUACAUCGGAAUCUACUUUUUCGUGGGGGAUAACGUAGGGAAACUUACGCUAAUACCGCAUACGACCUACGGGUGAAAGCAGGGGAUCUUCGGACCUUGCGCGAUUGAAUGAGCCGAUGUCGGAUUAGCUAGUUGGCGGGGUAAAGGCCCACCAAGGCGACGAUCCGUAGCUGGUCUGAGAGGAUGAUCAGCCAUACUGGAACUGAGACACGGUCCAGACUCCUACGGGAGGCAGCAGUGGGGAAUAUUGGACAAUGGGCGCAAGCCUGAUCCAGCCAUACCGCGUGGGUGAAGAAGGCCUUCGGGUUGUAAAGCCCUUUUGUUGGGAAAGAAAAGCAGCAGGUUAAUACCCCGCUGUUCUGACGGUACCCAAAGAAUAAGCACCGGCUAACUUCGUG